UGCGGGCAGGAGGCGCUUCUUGAGGAGUCCUUGCAGCACAGAGCGGACGGAGGGCCGGUGUACCAGCUGCAGCACGAAGAGGUGGGACUGCGGGGAGAGAGGAGACACUCAGUUCCUGUGCACUGUCCCCACACCCCGCCCUGCCUGCAGCCUCAGCAGCCCUAGACUGCUCCCAGGAUCCCACAGCCGGCCCAGGAGGCUCCCCCAGCAGCAGGCCGUGACGGUGAUCUGGAUGGUGUUGCGGCCCGGCUGGCACACGUGCUUCAGGUGCAGGGGCUUGUGGGAGGUCUUGUUGUCGCCGCGCUCCAUUGUGGUUGGCUGGGGCGAGGAGAGGAGGUGGGUGAGCCACAAGCCUCAGCUGCCAUGGGUUCUGGGGCUGUAGGUGGGACUUGCUCACCCUGGGCUGCAUGCUCAGAGGAAGGCAGGGGUGUGUAAACAGGGCCAGAGACAUAGCCAGUCCAAGGGCACACCAGUGAGUCAUGGCUUCUUCGAUUCUACACGGCCCCGCCCCAGCGACUCAUCCCCUCUUCUUCCACCCGCCUCCUUGCAUCCUUCCAUGGCUGCGUAUAGAUUUUCCUCCCAGCCUCCAGGCGCCCAGGCAGCAGU
rnacentral:lncRNA from 1 species